rnacentral:lncRNA from 13 species
AUGGAACUGCGCUUGAAAACUGAACAAUUAAAUGUAAUUGCAAAAACGUAUGACGAUGAACAAGCACAAGCUCUUCAACAAAAUCGUCUUCUACAGGGACAAAAUCAUAUGCUACAGGAACAACUGGAUUUAGCCAAAACUAAAUACGAUGAUGUUCACGCCAAACUAGAUAAAUCUGAAGAGUUAUCUACAAACAGGAGCGCUCAACUUGAUAACGUGCAUGCAGUUUUGUUGAAUGUUGAACUCAGAGUAACACGGUUUCACGGUUUCAAUCUCUCGCUCCGUACUCAAGACCUCUAUCUGCAAACCAUGACAGAUAAGUUUGAGACCGAAAGGAGCAAGUGUGACACUCACGUGUCCAAAAACAGUGCUUUAAGCGCUCAAGUGGUCUCUGCAAUGCAGCAGAAUACCACCCUUAGGUACCAUCUGGAGGAAGUCCAGAAUGGUCACGCUCUACAGCGUGACUACCAAUCCAAGCAACCGGAGCCCUGUACUCACAGGAGUAAAGACGAUAGGUUUCAGACCUUGCCUCCCUCAUGUGUCCCUCAGUCUUCUCCUCUUGGCCAUUCGGCACUGAGUAAAAUUGCACCUCUUGACCAACAACAACAACAAGGCUUGGCUUCUCCUCUUGGCCUUUCGGUCCCAAUCUCUCCACAGGUUGAAGCCAACCCUCUCCGCCCGCUUGGCAAGGAAUACCUUGACAAACUCAUCAAGAAUUUCCCCACCUUUGACCCCGUUCCAGGUCAGCCAAACGAUACUGAGAAGUUCAUAGCUGACAUAGAGGACGCGUUGGAUGGCUACCUGAACGCUACGGUUUCUGACAGGGUUUACCUGUUGAAGCGAACAUCGAAUAGACACGUGACAAGGUUCAUUCGUCUACAACAGCAACACGUGCUAAAUGACUACGCUAAACUUGCCACAGCUUUGAAAGUAGAAUUCAGUGGUUCUACGACUCGCAAACACGAUAGCUCACUGGCUAACACAGUCAAACAAGCUCGGAACAAACACCCACAAGCUUACUAUCAUAGGCUUCGUUCUGCUUACUUUGGCCUACUCACUGAAACAGGCAUGAAGACCUGUUACCUUUUAAACAAAUGUUCCUGUCGAACAUGUAUCCUACCUUCAUUACCUACUUGGGCACUGCCGCCCAUGUUGGCUUGCCUAUCUUACAACUCAGAGAGCUUGCAAGCACAGUUUUUUAUGCAUCAAAAGUUCACAACGCUAAGAGCCCUGAACACUCGGUUUUGA